rnacentral:siRNA from 1 species
CUAUGCCUGAGCGGGGUA